AUGCAAAGAGCUUAAAAGGUUGAAAGGUUCAUCGGAUGAAAAGCUGUAUAAUGAGGGAAUCGAGGAACAGUAACUAGUCAUGUCCACCAACUCGUCCCACCAACUCACACUCACCAACUCACAAAGUCAGAGCAGGUCUGCACAGGCACACCCUAUUAACCAGGGGUCCAAAGCCUUCAACCCCAAAAGGGGAAACCCUCCAUAAGCAAACAGGUCUCACUAGUAUAGUCCAUGCCAUUUCGAGAAGUACAGCUCAUAAACACUUCAAAGACAUUCCAAAAGGCACAGAGAUUCCUUAAUCUCUAGUCAUUCAAAGAGUUCUUUGUCACUUUCAAAUAACUCUUCAUCAGAUUCAUCUCAUUCAUUCUAUUUGCUUUCUUUUCUGGAUCCGAGCCGGCCUUGGAGAAAGAACUUCAAAGCAAAUAAUUCAAACAUACUAGUGAACCUCCUUCCACGUUUUGCAAACGUGGAGGGACCCCG
rnacentral:lncRNA from 1 species